UACGUAGGGUGCAGGCGUUACUCGGAAUUACUGGGCGUAAAGCGUGCGUAGGUGGUGAGUUAAGUCUGUCGUGAAAGCCCCGGGCUCAACCUGGGAAUGGCGAUGGAUACUGGCUCGCUAGAGUGCGGUAGAGGAGAGUGGAAUUCCCGGUGUAGCAGUGAAAUGCGUAGAGAUCGGGAGGAACAUCAGUUGCGAAGGCGGCUCUCUGGACCAGCACUGACACUGAGGCACGAAAGCGUGGGGAGCAAACAGG
rnacentral:rRNA from 1 species